rnacentral:rRNA from 1 species
UGGGGAAUUUUGGACAAUGGGGGAAACCCUGAUCCAGCCAUCCCGCGUGUGCGAUGAAGGCCUUCGGGUUGUAAAGCACUUUUGGCAGGAAAGAAACGUCGCGGGUUAAUACCCCGCGAAACUGACGGUACCUGCAGAAUAAGCACCGGCUAACUACGUGCCAGCAGCCGCGGUAAUACGUAGGGUGCAAGCGUUAAUCGGAAUUACUGGGCGUAAAGCGUGCGCAGGCGGUUCGGAAAGAAAGAUGUGAAAUCCCAGAGCUUAACUUUGGAACUGUAUUUUUAACUACCGGGCUAGAGUGUGUCAGAGGGAGGUGGAAUUCCGCGUGUAGCAGUGAAAUGCGUAGAUAUGCGGACGAACACCGAUGGCGAAGGCAGCCUCCUGGGAUAACACUGACGCUCAUGCACGAAAGCGUGGGGAGCAAACAGGAUUAGAUACCCUGGUAGUCCACGCCCUAAACGAUGUCAACUAGCUGUUGGGGCCUUCGGGCCUUGGUAGCGCAGCUAACGCGUGAAGUUGACCGCCUGGGGAGUACGGUCGCAAGACUAAAACUUAAAUGAAUUGAC